rnacentral:rRNA from 1 species
AUGAACGCUAGCGACAGGCCUAACACAUGCAAGGUCGAGGGGCAGCACAAGGAGCAAUCUGAGGUGGCGACCGGCGCACGGGUGAGUAACACGUAUGCAACCUGCCUGUAAGUGGGGAAUAACCCGUUGAAAGACGGACUAAUACCGCAUAAUACUAAAUUACUGCAUGGUAAUUUAUUUAAACAUUUAUGGCUUACAGAUGGGCAUGCGCAUGAUUAGCUAGUUGGAGAGGUAACGGCUCCCCAAGGCAACGAUCAUUAGGGGUUCUGAGAGGAAGGUCCCCCACACUGGUACUGAGACACGGACCAGACUCCUACGGGAGGCAGCAGUGAGGAAUAUUGGUCAAUGGACGAGAGUCUGAACCAGCCAAGUCGCGUGCAGGAAGAAUGUCCUAAUGGAUUGUAAACUGCUUUUGCAGGGGAAUAAAGUGCAUCACGUGUGAUGUUUUGUAUGUACUCUGCGAAUAAGGAUCGGCUAACUCCGUGCCAGCCGCUGC